rnacentral:sRNA from 1 species
UGUCCAGUUUGGAGACUGAAGCCUCUGUUAAUCAAGAGAACAGAUACAGCACAGGCUGCUGCAGUGUGAACUUCCCUACAGUAUCCAAGCCACUGUCUCAAACUCUCCCCUGAAGGGGCUGCCUCUAGGAGCCACAGGAGAGUUCUGUCUCCCUGACCCAUUCUGUCUGCC